ACCCUCAGACAGGAUAGCUCGGUAGAACUUGAGAUUCAGAAUCUCAGGGUUGUGGGUUUGAACCCCACGUUGGGCA